rnacentral:rRNA from 1 species
CGGACGGGUGAGUAACACGUGGAUAACCUACCUAUAAGACUGGGAUAACUUCGGGAAACCGGAGCUAAUACUGGAUAAUAUAUUGAACCGCAUGGUUCAAUAGUGAAAGACGGUUUUGCUGUCACUUAUAGAUGGAUCCGCGCCGCAUUAGCUAGUUGGUAAGGUAACGGCUUACCAAGGCAACGAUGCGUAGCCGACCUGAGAGGGUGAUCGGCCACACUGGAACUGAGACACGGUCCAGACUCCUACGGGAGGCAGCAGUC